GAGGGUGUAGCUCAGUGGUAGAGCGUGUGCUUAGCAUGCACGAAGUCCUGGGUUCAAUUCCUCAAUAGCCCCC
rnacentral:tRNA from 1 species